GACGAACGCUGGCGGCGUGCUUAACACAUGCAAGUCGAACGGAAAGGCCCUGCUUUUGUGGGGUGCUCGAGUGGCGAACGGGUGAGUAACACGUGAGUAACCUGCCCUUGACUUUGGGAUAACUUCAGGAAACUGGGGCUAAUACCGGAUAGGAGCUCCUGCUGCAUGGUGGGGGUUGGAAAGUUUCGGCGGUUGGGGAUGGACUCGCGGCUUAUCAGCUUGUUGGUGGGGUAGUGGCUUACCAAGGCUUUGACGGGUAGCCGGCCUGAGAGGGUGACCGGCCACAUUGGGACUGAGAUACGGCCCAGCCUCCUACGGGAGGCAGCAGUGGGGAAUAUUGCACAAUGGGCUGAAGCCUGAUGCAGCAACGCCGCGUGCGGGAUGACGGCCUUCGGGUUGUAAACCGCUUUCGCCUGUGACGAAGCGUGAGUGACGGUAAUGGGUAAAGAAGCACCGGCUAACUACGUG
rnacentral:rRNA from 1 species